rnacentral:sRNA from 1 species
CCCUAGCCCUGAUAGCAGUGGAAAUCCUUUUAUUUUUUUUCUUAAAAAAAUAAAAGAUUGCAACGAAUAGCAGGAAAUAGC